rnacentral:rRNA from 1 species
CUGGGCGUAAAGGGAGCGUAGGCGGACUUUUAAGUGGGAUGUGAAAUACUCAGGCUCAACCUGAGGGCUGCAUUUCAAACUGGAAGUCUAGAGUGCAGGAGAGGAGAGUGGAAUUCCUAGUGUAGCGGUGAAAUGCGUAGAGAUUAGGAAGAACACCAGUGGCGAAGGCGGCCUACUGGGCCUUUACUGACGCUGAGGCACGAAAGCAUGGGUAGCAAACAGGAUUAGAUACCCUGGUAGUCCAUGCUGUAAACGAUGAUUGCUAGGUGUGGGGGGACUGACCCCUUCCGUGCCGGAGUUAACACAAUAAGCAAUCCACCUGGGGAGUACGGCCGCAAGGUUGAAACUCAAAGAAAUUGACGGGGGCCCGCACAAGCGGUAAUCGAA